rnacentral:RNase_P_RNA from 1 species
GAUGACUGGAUGGCUGCUGUCUCUUGCAGACAGAGGAAAGUCCGGGCUUCACAGGAUCAGGAUGCUGGAUAACUUCCAGCGAGGGCGACCUUAGGGAAAGUGCCACAGAAAACAAACCGCCAGACAAACUAUCUGGUAAGGGUGAAAAGGUGCGGUAAGAGCGCACCGCGGGUCUGGUAACAGGCCUGGCAUGGUAAACCCCAUCCGAAGCAAGACCAUAUAGGGGCAUAGCUGUUUGCUCAGCACUGGUGAUCCUGCUAGAGAUGUCCGGGUAGGUUGCAUGAGGUGUCUGGCAACAGGCAUCCUAGAUGAAUAGCCAUCAUCCCUGCCGGUUCCGGCACGAGGGAUACAGAACCCGGCUUACAGGUUAUCUGC